rnacentral:rRNA from 1 species
AGUGAACGCUGGCGGUAGGCCUAACACAUGCAAGUCGAACGGCAGCACAGUAAGAGCUUGCUCUUACGGGUGGCGAGUGGCGGACGGGUGAGGAAUACAUCGGAAUCUACUUUUUCGUGGGGGAUAACGUAGGGAAACUUACGCUAAUACCGCAUACGACCUACGGGUGAAAGCAGGGGAUCUUCGGACCUUGCGCGAUUGAAUGAGCCGAUGUCGGAUUAGCUAGUUGGCGGGGUAAGGGCCCACCAAGGCGACGAUCCGUAGCUGGUCUGAGAGGAUGAUCAGCCACACUGGAACUGAGACACGGUCCAGACUCCUACGGGAGGCAGCAGUGGGGAAUAUUGGACAAUGGGCGCAAGCCUGAUCCAGCCAUACCGCGUGGGUGAAGAAGGCCUUCGGGUUGUAAAGCCCUUUUGUUGGGAAAGAAAAGCAGCAGGUUAAUACCCCGCUGUUCUGACGGUACCCAAAGAAUAAGCACCCGCUAACUUCGUG